AGUUCUUGCUGCAGCCUGUAUUUUAAAAUACCUCUAUAUGUUUUUGGAAAAGAGUAGACUAUACUCCUCCAUCUUUGUUUACAACAUUUAACAGCUGUAAAAUCUCAUGACUUGGCUUUUACAUAGGUGUUAUCUUGCAAUGCAACAUUAAUAAGGCUUUCGGGGAAAUUUACCUUUAUGCAUCUUUAGGUGAAGUGAGAAUUUAAAGUACUUAAGGCUACCUCUGAAGGGACCCAUUAGAAGAAAAGCUUUGUUAAUUACUUUAGGGACUUAGAACUCAAGGACCUAGGUUAAAGAGACUGCUAAAAUCAUAUUGCUAGUCUUUGCUCAGGGAACGUAUUUCGGAAGAAUUAUUAGGGGUGGAUCCUUAGGAGAUGGGAGUUGACAUAGCUCUACUGAAAUCAACAGAGACAUGCUGAUUUCCACCAACUGAGAAUCUGUCUCCAUCUAUUUAUCUUACAAAAGUGUUUCUAACAUCUGUUUUUUUGUUCUGAGGGCCUCACUAAGCUAAAGGAUCAGGUGGUAGAUGGGGGAUACAUGGAGUACCUGCUCCAUUCUUGGGUGAGGUAGCUAACAGUGAGCCAUCAUUGGAAAACUCCAAGAUUCCAGGUGAGAGAUGGAUCUUUUUGAAGUCCCGAGGCUUUGCUGCUGUUGGCUGGAUAUCCCAAAUGUUGUAAGGAGGGUAUAUUUUCUUUAAACUGGUUUGCCUUUGCCCUCACUGUGAGGCAGAGAACACUGAGGAGAAAGAAGAAUUUAAAGACAAGAAGGUGAAAGUUAUGACCAGCCAUAUUCAGAUCCAUACCAUCUUCCUCAUGAUCAAAAUGUUUUGAUUUUUUUUCCAAAAUCCAUCUUGGUGAUUCUCAGACCUUCCAAAACAUAUUGUGAUGUAUACCAGAGGUUCAGAUACAGAG